GAAAAACUUCUUGUCCUCUUCUAUCCAGAGAGAUGCCUUUGUCAUCAGAGACUUAAUCCACGGAUGGAGAACCCCAUAAACUGAGCUAUGCAUAUCUUCAAUCCCAGCAUUUGGAGAGAGAGGCAAACCAGCUCUCUAUGAGUUUAAGGCCAGCCUGCUCUACAUAACAAACUCCAGGCCAACCAGGGCUGCACAGAGAGACCCUAUCCCAAAACCAACAAACAACAAACAAACAGAACAAAGCCCCCCUCCAACCAACCCCCCAAACUGGUGAGUAUGGAGGGCUGUUGCUUUUCUCCACAUUCACUCACCUUUAACUGCACUCCCCCCCAUCACCAGUGGAUAUGUGUGUGGAAUCUAUUUCCUUUAGCAUUGAGGAGUUCUUGGCAUUAUUGACAUUUUGGCCUGGGUAAUCCUUUGUUGUUCGUGAGGGGGCUGUCCUGUGCAUUGUAGUCUAUUUGGCAGCAUGCCUGGCCUCUGCCCACUAGAUGUGACUAGCAUGUUUAGUCCCGGCCAUGACAAGCAGAAUUGUCCCUAGACACAGUAAGUAUGCAGAGACUUUG
rnacentral:lncRNA from 1 species